CAGUAGCCGCGGUAAUACAGAGGGUGCAAGCGUUAAUCGGAAUUACUGGGCGUAAAGCGCGCGUAGGUGGUUUGUUAAGUUGGAUGUGAAAUCCCCGGGCUCAACCUGGGAACUGCAUCCAAAACUGGCAAGCUAGAGUAUGGUAGAGGGUGGUGGAAUUUCCUGUGUAGCGGUGAAAUGCGUAGAUAUAGGAAGGAACACCAGUGGCGAAGGCGACCACCUGGACUGAUACUGACACUGAGGUGCGAAAGCGUGGGGAGCAAACAGGAUUAGAUACCCCCGUAGUCCCUGUCUCUAUACA
rnacentral:rRNA from 1 species